GGUAUGUUGAUGCUGUCAUGACAAUCCCCAAGGGAACCUUGUUCCCCAUGUGCGGCAUGAACCUUGCCUUCGACAGGGAUCUCAUUGGCCCUGCCAUGUACUUUGGUCUCAUGGGUGAUGGCCAGCCUAUUGGCCGCUACGACGACAUGUGGGCUGGGUGGUGUGUGAAGGUGUGUGGUCUCUGUUCUCUCUGCUGCAGUUGCAUUAGUUGCUUCCUUUACAAAUCAUAUGUUUUCCAAUUGAUGUCAUUGUAUUAAACUGUGCAAAUAAAAUUCAGGUCAUCUGCGACCACUUGAGCCUGGGUGUCAAGACUGGCCUGCCAUACAUCUGGCACAGCAAGGCUAGCAACCCCUUCGUCAACUUGAAGAAGGAAUACAAGGGCAUCUUCUGGCAGGAGGACAUCAUCCCCUUCUUCCAGAACGUGACCAUCCCCAAGGAGUGUGACACAGUCCAGAAGUGCUACAUCUACCUCUCUGGGCAGGUGAAGGAGAAGCUGGGCAAGAUUGAUCCCUACUUCGCCAAGCUCGCCGAUGCCAUGGUCACCUGGAUCGAGGCCUGGGAUGAGCUGAACCCGACCACCGCCGCAGCUGAGAACGGCAAGGCCAAGUAGAUGGAGCCCCUGGAGUCUUCACUUCCCCUUCGAAGUGAUAAAGUAUGAUUGGGGCCUGCCUAGGCCCCAUAGAUAUAGCU
rnacentral:lncRNA from 1 species